rnacentral:rRNA from 1 species
UACAGAGGUCUCAACCGUUGUUCGGAUUCAUUGGGCGUAAAGCGCGUGUAGGCGGCUUGGCAAGUCGGUUGUGAAAGCCCGGGGCCCAACCCCGGAAUUGCAUCUGAAACUGCCUCGCUAGAGUCCCGGAGAGGAGGGCAGAAUUCCCGGUGUAGGGGUGAAAUCCGUAGAUAUCGGGAGGAAUACCAGCGGCGAAGGCGGCCUUCUGGACGGUGACUGACGCUGAGACGCGAAAGCGUGGGGAGCAAACAGG